AUCGCUUCUCGGCCUUUUGGCUAAGAUCAAGUGUAGUAUCUUUGAGUUGACUUUUAGCUAAAGUCAACUUAAAAAUGAUUCAUUACUUUUA
rnacentral:snRNA from 1 species